AUUGAACGCUGGCGGCAGGCCUAACACAUGCAAGUCGAACGGUAACAGGAAGAAGCUUGCUUCUUUGCUGACGAGUGGCGGACGGGUGAGUAAUGUCUGGGAAACUGCCUGAUGGAGGGGGAUAACUACUGGAAACGGUAGCUAAUACCGCAUAACGUCGCAAGACCAAAGAGGGGGACCUUCGGGCCUCUUGCCAUCGGAUGUGCCCAGAUGGGAUUAGCAAGUAGGUGGGGUAACGGCUCACCUAGGCGACGAUCCCUAGCUGGCCUGAGAGGAUGACCAGCCACACUGGAACUGAGACACGGUCCAGACUCCGACGGGAGGCAGCAGUGGGGAAUAUUGCACAAUGGGCGCAAGCCUGAUGCAGCCAUGCCGCGUGUAUGAAGAAGGCCUUCGGGUUGUAAAGUACUUUCAGCGGGGAGGAAGGGAGUAAAGUUAAUACCUUUGCUCAUUGACGUUACCCGCAGAAGAAGCACCGGCUAACUCCGUG
rnacentral:rRNA from 1 species